GACUUCCUUCAAAACCCUUCUAGCUUGCUCAGGAAUGCAGAACAAUAAAUCAUUCAAGCUAAAGGCAUUUACAGCUUUAAAAGAAAAGAAAGAGGAGAUUCCAGAGCAGUAUUUUUAAAUGCCUCGCCACGAUUUCUCGGUGUACUUAAGGAGAUCAAAACGACUUGCUCAAAAAGACUUCUCAGAAGCUGAGGAGUGAAUGAGAGACUAGUGUUGGAACACACACAGGGAUCAAACAGCUCUGCUAGCAAAAUUUUGUAAUGAGAAUCCAGACUUCAUCAUAUAGAAGCACAUGCUACAGAUAUUACAGAAACAAAAUGCGACUGAGCUGUAAAUCUGUUUUGAACAGUUCAUUUACUUCUGUUGGGUUUUUAAAAUAUUUGGUCAAGGAAUCCCUGUGAUAUUCAUAUCAUUGGAAAGGAAAAUAUUUGGCUGGAACAACUCCCCUGAACCAGUACCAAACCUGCAAGCAACUUUCUGUUGAUGACUGUUGUCUUGUCCUCCUCCCACUCAGUGCUUUCAAGAGCAUGGCUCCAUCUUCUCAGUUGGAUGAUUCUAGAGGGGCUGUUGUUAGGUCCCCCUGAAGCCAUCUCUCCUCCAGACUCAACAAGCCCUGGUCCCUCUGCUUCUCCUUGCAAGGCAAAAGAUCAAGCUGCAAUCAUCCUGGCAGCCUUCACCUGAACCCCUGCUUUUGUUGUGGGAUACAAAGUAAACCGGAAUUAUUCAAGAUUGCAGCAUACCAACUCCAAGUUGUUGCUCCUCUUUCCUCCUCUUCCUACCCCAGGUCUCCAGCUACAAUUACUCUUCAAAAUAUAUUGGCGGGAGUUGU